rnacentral:rRNA from 1 species
AAGUCGUAACAAGGUUUCCGUAGGCAUCCCCGAACCGAAAACUUUCACUAUGAGUGCUAACAAUCCUCUAGGUAGGUGAACCUGCGGAAGGAUCAUUACAGAGAAAGGGGCCUCGUGCCCCCGGGGUUUCGGCCCCGCCUCUACACCCGUGAUUACCUAUCCACUGUUGCUUUGGCGGGCCAUGGUCUCCCAGGCCACGCCGGCGGGGUCCUGCCCCGCGGGUGAGUGCUCGCCAGAGGCCCAUUUUACAUUCUGUUUUCGUGUCGUCAGAGGGAAUACAAAAUCAAGCAAAACUUUCAACAACGGAUCUCUUGGUUCUGGCAUCGAUGAAGAACGCAGCGAAAUGCGAUAAGUAAUGUGAAUUGCAGAAUUCAGUGAAUCAUCGAAUCUUUGAACGCACAUUGCGCCCCUCGGUAUUCCGGGGGGCAUGCCUGUUCGAGCGUCAUUGCACCCCUCAAGCGUAGCUUGGUGUUGGGCGGUCGUCCCGCGAGGGAUCCCCCCGAAAACGAUAGGCGGUCCGGGUUGACUUUGGGCGUAGUAAAUUAUCUCCCGCUCUGAAAGUUCGACCCGCGGCCGGCCGCAACCCCCAAAUUCCAACAAUUGACCUCGGAUCAGGUAGGGAUACCCGCUGAACUUAA